rfam:Macaca mulatta chromosome 20, whole genome shotgun sequence.
AACUACCAUACCAGUGCUAAUUAACUAGCACUAAUACAUUAGUGCUUUUACGUACUUCGUGCAUUACUGUUAGUCCCCAUGGAUAAUAUAUA